UAGUUCUUCCAACAUGAGACUUCCAAGCUAGCGAAGCUCUGCUGUAUAUUUUUGUGCUUCAAAGUGGGCGAAAAGAAGGAAAAAGGAAGGCAGAAGCGCGCCAGCAUAAUAGCCGAAUACGAAUCCGAAUCCGAAUGCGAAUAACUGAACAACCGAAGGCGGCGAAGGAGAGAAGAUGACUCAUGUUGCACAGUCGCAGGAGGAGUGCCCAAUUGGAAGCGCGGCAAAGCGUCGCAUUCGCUGCACCGCAAAAUGCCAAUUUCCCACUAGGCAGGAGAGAGAGACAGAGAACGAGCCUAGGUCAAUCCCAUUUCCACUUUCCAGCAUUCCCUUGCAGUUAGUGCAUUCUACCCAUCCCACUCCCACCCACUGCAGCUGGCCGUGGCCGCGUUGCCAACUGCAUGAAGAGACUCGUAGCGCGCGCUCUUAAGUUGCCAACGCAGGGAUUCUGCGCGCCUCUUGGAACAUUUCAAUUUUCCGAGCUAUUCAACUAGAAUUCUCACAUUUCCCUGCUGUCAGCAUUCUAUUCUUCCAGUCUUCUGCUGGCUUUUAACUUUGUUGUUGUCGCCCUUGUUGUUUGAUUAAUUUGUUUUCAAAAGAAACGAAUUCUCGGAAAUUCUACGAAUGCAUUCCAGUGUGUUGGCUCUGGUGUGUGCAUAAUCCGAACCCGAAUCCGAAUCUGAUGGUGGAUCUGAAUCUGGAUCUGAAUCCCCUUGGAAGCGUUCUAAAUUUGCGGAUGUUUACAAGCUUGGCACCCAAAAAAGAAGACAACGCAAACAUCGCACCAUUCUAGCACUGAAAAUAAAAUAGACCAACAAUACUUAGUA